AUGAACCGGCACCUGAGGAAUCUAUCAAGUUCAAGGCUACUGAGGAUGACAUUCCGACCGAGGAAUCUGCUGAAGAAUUCAUUCCAGAACGUGAAGAACGUCGAGCUAAUGCACCUGAAGAAAAUACUAAAGAAAAUGGUGCUGAAGAAAAUGCUGAUCAAAUUCCUCGACGACAAUCCGCUCAUCCUCGCGUUGCCAACGAAGUGCAUAUUGAGAAAAUCAUCAGCGGCAUCAACAUUCCAGGUCCUCUCACACGCUCAAGAGCUUCACAUUUGUCUAACUUUUGUGGGCACUUUGCUUUUGUCUCUAUCACAAAGCCCACUAAGGUAG
rnacentral:rRNA from 1 species